rnacentral:rRNA from 1 species
AUGCCAGGGUUCCAACGAGUCGUCUCCGAGGCAUGGACUGAAAUUUCUUGUCAUGUCGAACCAUAUCAGCGGUUGUUCCACAAGCUAAAGAGAACAUGCCAAAAACUGCGCUCCUGGAGCAAGACCCUUUUCUCGAACUCCAAGGUCCAGCUCCACAUGGCUCUUGAGGUUAUCCUUCGCCUUGACCUGGCGCAAGAACAAAGAGAGCUAAGCCUAGAGGAAAGGGACCUUCAGAAAAGAUUAAAAAGAAGGAUCAUUAGCUUGGCGGUGCUCGAAAAAUCUAGAAAAAGACAAAACUCGAGGAUCAUAAACCUCAAAGAAGGAGACACCAACACCCGUUAUUUCCACCUCCGUGUCAAUCACCGGAGGAGGAAAAACUUCAUUCAUCGCCUCAAACACAAUAGGGGUUGGGUCACCUCACACGAAGACAAAGAGAAGAUUGUUCACAACCACUUCAAGAACAUAGCCAAAAAAAGGCCAUGCUCGUAA